UACGUAGGGUCCUUUUUUUUUUUUUUUUUUUUUGGCGUAAAGAGCUCGUAGGCGGUUUGUCGCGUCUGCUGUGAAAUCCCGAGGCUCAACCUCGGGUCUGCAGUGGGUACGGGCAGACUGGAGUGCGGUAGGGGAGAAUGGAAUUCCUGGUGUAGCGGUGGAAUGCGCAGAUAUUAGGAAGAACACCAGUGGCGAAGGCGGCUCACUGGCCCGGUACUGACGCUGAGGCGCGAAAGCGUGGGGAGCAAACAGG
rnacentral:rRNA from 1 species